AGCUAAUACCGGAUAAUGCAUAACCUCUCAUGAGGUUAUGCUGAAAGAUGGUUUCGGCUAUCACUUACAGAUGGGCCCGCGGCGCAUUAGCUAGUUGGUGAGGUAACGGCUCACCAAGGCAACGAUGCGUAGCCGACCUGAGAGGGUGAUCGGCCACACUGGGACUGAGACACGGCCCAGACUCCUACGGGAGGCAGCAGUAGGGAAUCUUCCGCAAUGGACGAAAGUCUGACGGAGCAACGCCGCGUGAGUGAUGAAGGUUUUCGGAUCGUAAAACUCUGUUGUUAGGGAAGAACAAGUGCCGGAGUAACUGCCGGCACCUUGACGGUACCUAACCAGAAAGCCACGGCUAACUACGUGCCAGCAGCCGCGGUAAUACGUAGGUGGCAAGCGUUGUCCGGAAUUAUUGGGCGUAAAGCGCGCGCAGGCGGUCUCUUAAGUCUGAUGUGAAAGCCCACGGCUCAACCGUGGAGGGUCAUUGGAAACUGGGGGACUUGAGUGCAGAAGAGGAAAGUGGAAUUCCACGUGUAGCGGUGAAAUGCGUAGAGAUGUGGAGGAACACCAGUGGCGAAAGCGACUUUCUGGUCUGUAACUGACGCU
rnacentral:rRNA from 1 species